AGCGAACGCUGGCGGCAGGCCUAACACAUGCAAGUCGAACGAAGUCUUCGGACUUAGUGGCGGACGGGUGAGUAACACGUGGGGACGUGCCUUUAGGUUCGGAAUAACUCAGGGAAACUUGUGCUAAUACCGAAUGUGCCCUUCGGGGGAAAGAUUUAUCGCCUUUAGAGCGGCCCGCGUCUGAUUAGCUAGUUGGUGAGGUAAAGGCUCACCAAGGCGACGAUCAGUAGCUGGUCUGAGAGGAUGAUCAGCCACAUUGGGACUGAGACACGGCCCAAACUCCUACGGGAGGCAGCAGUGGGGAAUCUUGCGCAAUGGGCGAAAGCCUGACGCAGCCAUGCCGCGUGAAUGAUGAAGGUCUUAGGAUUGUAAAAUUCUUUCACCGGGGACGAUAAUGACGGUACCCGGAGAAGAAGCCCCGGCUAACUUCGAGCCAGCCGCCGCGGUAAAAC
rnacentral:rRNA from 1 species